CCUACGGGAGGCAGCAGUGGGGAAUCUUGCGCAAUGGGCGAAAGCCUGACGCAGCAACGCCGCGUGCGGGAAGAAGGCUCUCGGGUUGUAAACCGCUUUCAGCAGGAACGAAAAUGACGGUACCUGCAGAAGAAGGUGCGGCCAACUACGUGCCAGCAGCCGCGGUGACACGUAGGCACCAAGCGUUGUCCGGAUUUAUUGGGCGUAAAGAGCUCGUAGGCGGUUCGGUAAGUCGGGUGUGAAAACUUUGGGCUUAACCCAAAGCGUGCACCCGAUACUGCUGUGACUAGAGUUCGGUAGGGGAGUGGGGAAUUCCUAGUGUAGCGGUGAAAUGCGCAGAUAUUAGGAGGAACACCGGUGGCGAAGGCGCCGCUCUGGGCCGAUACUGACGCUGAGGAGCGAAAGCGUGGGUAGCAAACAGGAUUAGAUACCCUGGUAGU
rnacentral:rRNA from 1 species